GCUAGUAUAGCUCAAUUGGUAGAGCAGCUGAUUUGUAAUCAGCAGGCUAUGGGUUCAAAUCCCUUUACUAGCU
rnacentral:tRNA from 1 species